GACGAAGGAUGCAAGCGUUAUCCGGAUUCAUUGGGUUUAAAGGGAGCGUAGGUGGCCUUAUAAGUCAGUGGUGAAAUCUCUGGGCUUAACCCAGAAAUUGCCAUUGAUACUGUAGGGCUUGAGUAUAGUUCCGUUGGCGGAAUAUGACAUGUAGUGGUGAAAUACAUAGAGAUGUCAUAGAACACCGAUUGCGAAGGCAGCUGACGAAACUAUAACUGACAUUGAGGCUCGAAAAGUGCGGGGAUCAAACAGG
rnacentral:rRNA from 1 species